GUUAAGCGACUAAGCGUACACGGUGGAUGCCCUGGCAGUCAGAGGCGAUGAAGGACGUGCUAAUCUGCGAUAAGCGUCGGUGAGGUGAUAUGAACCGUUAUAACCGGCGAUUUCCGAAUGGGGAAACCCAGUGUGUUUCGACACACUAUCAUUAACUGAAUCCAUAGGUUAAUGAGGCGAACCGGGGGAACUGAAACAUCUAAGUACCCCGAGGAAAAGAAAUCAACCGAGAUUCCCCCAGUAGCGGCGAGCGAACGGGGAGGAGCCCAGAGCCUGAAUCAGUGUGUGUGUUAGUGGAAGCGUCUGGAAAGGCGCGCGAUACAGGGUGACAGCCCCGUACACAAAAAUGCACAUAUUGUGAGCUCGAUGAGUAGGGCGGGACACGUGGUAUCCUGUCUGAAUAUGGGGGGACCAUCCUCCAAGGCUAAAUACUCCUGACUGACCGAUAGUGAACCAGUACCGUGAGGGAAAGGCGAAAAGAACCCCGGCGAGGGGAGUGAAAAAGAACCUGAAACCGUGUACGUACAAGCAGUGGGAGCCUCUUUAUGGGGUGACUGCGUACCUUUUGUAUAAUGGGUCAGCGACUUAUAUUCUGUAGCAAGGUUAACCGAAUAGGGGAGCCGAAGGGAAACCGAGUCUUAACUGGGCGUUAAGUUGCAGGGUAUAGACCCGAAACCCGGUGAUCUAGCCAUGGGCAGGUUGAAGGUUGGGUAACACUAACUGGAGGACCGAACCGACUAAUGUUGAAAAAUUAGCGGAUGACUUGUGGCUGGGGGUGAAAGGCCAAUCAAACCGGGAGAUAGCUGGUUCUCCCCGAAAGCUAUUUAGGUAGCGCCUCGUGAAUUCAUCUCCGGGGGUAGAGCACUGUUUCGGCAAGGGGGUCAUCCCGACUUACCAACCCGAUGCAAACUGCGAAUACCGGAGAAUGUUAUCACGGGAGACACACGGCGGGUGCUAACGUCCGUCGUGAAGAGGGAAACAACCCAGACCGCCAGCUAAGGUCCCAAAGUCAUGGUUAAGUGGGAAACGAUGUGGGAAGGCCCAGACAGCCAGGAUGUUGGCUUAGAAGCAGCCAUCAUUUAAAGAAAGCGUAAUAGCUCACUGGUCGAGUCGGCCUGCGCGGAAGAUGUAACGGGGCUAAACCAUGCACCGAAGCUGCGGCAGCGACACUAUGUGUUGUUGGGUAGGGGAGCGUUCUGUAAGCCUGUGAAGGUGGCCUGUGAGGGUUGCUGGAGGUAUCAGAAGUGCGAAUGCUGACAUAAGUAACGAUAAAGCGGGUGAAAAGCCCGCUCGCCGGAAGACCAAGGGUUCCUGUCCAACGUUAAUCGGGGCAGGGUGAGUCGACCCCUAAGGCGAGGCCGAAAGGCGUAGUCGAUGGGAAACAGGUUAAUAUUCCUGUACUUGGUGUUACUGCGAAGGGGGGACGGAGAAGGCUAUGUUGGCCGGGCGACGGUUGUCCCGGUUUAAGCGUGUAGGCUGGUUUUCCAGGCAAAUCCGGAAAA
rnacentral:rRNA from 1 species